GGGCACGUAGCUCAACGGUCGAGCAGGGGACUCAUAAUCCCUAGGAUCCGGGUUCGAAUCCCGGCGUGCCCA
rnacentral:tRNA from 1 species